rnacentral:rRNA from 1 species
UACGAAGGGUGCAAGCGUUAAUCGGAAUUACUGGGCGUAAAGGGUGCGUAGGCGGUUCGUUAAGUCUGUCGUGAAAUCCCCGGGCUCAACCUGGGAAUGGCGAUGGAUACUGGCGAGCUAGAGUGUGUCAGAGGAUGGUGGAAUUCCCGGUGUAGCGGUGAAAUGCGUAGAGAUCGGGAGGAACCUCAGUGGCGAAGGCGGCCAUCUGGGACAACACUGACGCUGAAGCACGAAAGCGUGGGGAGCAAACAGG